rnacentral:rRNA from 1 species
GUGGGGUAACGGCCCACCAAGGCAUCGACGGGUAGCUGGUCUGAGAGGAUGAUCAGCCACACUGGGACUGAGACACGGCCCAGACUCCUACGGGAGGCAGCAGUGGGGAAUCUUGCGCAAUGGGCGAAAGCCUGACGCAGCAACGCCGCGUGCGGGAUGACGGCCCUCGGGCUGUAAACCGCUUUCAGCAGGAACGAUGAUGACGGUACCUGCAGAAGAAGCUCCGGCCAACUACGUGCCAGCAGCCGCGGUAAUACGUAGGGAGCAAGCGUUGUCCGGAUUUAUUGGGCGUAAAGAGCUCGUAGGCGGUUCGGUAAGUCGGGUGUGAAAACUCUGGGCUCAACCCGGAGAGGCCACUCGAUACUGCUGUGACUUGAGUCUGGUAGGGGAGCACGGAAUUCCUGGUGUAGCGGUGAAAUGCACAGAUAUCAGGAGGAACACCGGUGGCGAAGGCGGUGCUCUGGGCCAGUACUGACGCUGAGGAGCGAAAGCGUGGGGAGCGAACAGGAUUAGAUACCCUGGUAGUCCACGCCGUAAACGUUGGGCACUAGGUGUGGGGGGACGUCAACUCCCUCCGUGCCGUAGCUAACGCAUUAAGUG